rnacentral:rRNA from 1 species
UACGGAGGAUGCAAGCGUUAUCCGGAAUGAUUGGGCGUAAAGCGUCCGCAGGUGGCUGUGUAAGUCUGCUGUUAAAGAGUGAGGCUCAACCUCAUAAAAGCAGUGGAAACUACACGGCUAGAGUGCGUUCGGGGCAGAGAGAAUUCCUGGUGUAGCGGUGAAAUGCGUAGAUAUCAGGAAGAACACCGGUGGCGAAAGCGCUCUGCUAGGCCGCAACUGACACUGAGGGACGAAAGCUAGGGGAGCGAAUGGG